GUAGGUGGCGAGCGUUGUCCGGAUUUACUGGGCGUAAAGAGCGCGCAGGCGGUCGUGCAAGUCGGAUGUGAAAGCCCCCGGCUCAACUGGGGAGGGUCAUUCGAUACUGCUCGACUUGAAGGCGGGAGAGGGAAGCGGAAUUCCCGGUGUAGUGGUGAAAUGCGUAGAUAUCGGGAGGAACACCAGUGGCGAAGGCGGCUUCCUGGCCCGUUCUUGACGCUGAGGCGCGAAAGCUAGGGGAGCAAACGGGAUUAGAUACCCCGGUAGUCCUAGCCGUAAACGAUGGACACUAGGUGUUGGUGGUAUCAACCCCGCCAGUGCCGAAGCUAACGCAUUAAGUGUCCCGCCUGGGGAGUACGGCCGCAAGGCUA
rnacentral:rRNA from 1 species